AUGCACCUGCUCUGGAUGUUUUUUCUUCCUUUGUACUUUCAAACUCAUUUUAUUUUUUUAAGAAAACAUACUGCCUAAAGACCAGGACAAUUACUACUUUAUCAAAUUAUAAGUGCUGAGGGCUAUAUUUCAAUUUUCAAUAUUGAAAUAUACAGACCAUUUCCCAUCAAGUUUAAAAACAAGAAUAUAAAAAAAUUCUUUCAAAGACAAAGAAUCACUAGGAAAAGAAGUAAAGCCAGAGAGAAUAUUGGAAUGAAAACCAGACCCUUUACCUGAUUGUACGGGUAGCUGAAUCGUAAAGAAGUCUUACUUCCAAGCAAACCUCCUAUUCAAAACCCAAGGCCUUACCGGGGGAGAGGUGGGAUCCUGAAACAUAGACUCAGGACUCCUGAGUGACUCGCUCCUUCCAGAGGAGGUAUCUUCCUUGCCCGGAGACCAUAUAAAUGCCUCAGCUGAGCUAGAUGCCUCAAAAUAUGUACACCUUCCUCAAAACUGGCCCUUGUUGGUGGCUUCUAAACCAUUAACUAAGUUCAAAACCAAUCAUGGCCUAACUGAGAAA